CUCCUACGGGAGGCAGCAGUGGGGAAUAUUGCACAAUGGGGGAAACCCUGAUGCAGCAACGCCGCGUGAGCGAAGAAGGCCUUCGGGUCGUAAAGCUCUGUCCUAAGGGAAGAAAAAUGACGGUACCUUAGGAGGAAGCCCCGGCUAACUACGUGCCAGCAGCCGCGGUAAUACGUAGGGGGCAAGCGUUAUCCGGAAUCACUGGGCGUAAAGGGUGCGUAGGCGGCUCUUCAAGUCAGGGGUGAAAGGCUACGGCUUAACCGUAGUAAGCCUUUGAAACUGGAGGGCUUGAGUGCAGGAGAGGAGAGUGGAAUUCCUAGUGUAGCGGUGAAAUGCGUAGAUAUUAGGAGGAACACCAGUGGCGAAGGCGACUCUCUGGACUGUAACUGACGCUGAGGCACGAAAGCGUGGGGAGCAAACAGGAUUAGAUACCCUGGUAGUCCACGCUGUAAACGAUGAGUGCUAGGUGUCGGGGGUCAAACCUCGGUGCCGCAGCUAACGCAUUAAGCACUCCGCCUGGGGAGUACGCUCGCAAGAGUGAAACUCAAAGGAAUUGACGG
rnacentral:rRNA from 1 species